GACGAACGCUGGCGGCGUGCCUAAUACAUGCAAGUAGAACGCUGAAGGAGGAGCUUGCUCUUCUGGAUGAGUUGCGAACGGGUGAGUAACGCGUAGGUAACCUGCCUGGUAGCGGGGGAUAACUAUUGGAAACGAUAGCUAAUACCGCAUAACAGUAGAUGUUGCAUGACAUUUACUUAAAAGGUGCAAUUGCAUCACUACCAGAUGGACCUGCGUUGUAUUAGCUAGUUGGUGGGGUAACGGCUCACCAAGGCGACGAUACAUAGCCGACCUGAGAGGGUGAUCGGCCACACUGGGACUGAGACACGGCCCAGACUCCUACGGGAGGCAGCAGGAGGGAAUCUUCGGCAAUGGACGGAAGUCUGACCGAGCAACGCCGCGGGAGUGAAGAAGGUUUUCGGAUCGUAAAGCUCUGUUGUAAGAGAAGAACGAGUGUGAGAGUGGAAAGUUCACACUGUGACGGUAGCUUACCAGAAAGGGACGGCUAACUACGUG
rnacentral:rRNA from 1 species